GUAAACGAUGUCUACUUGGAGGUUGUGCCCUUGAGGCGUGGCUUCCGGAGCUAACGCGUUAAGUAGACCGCCUGGGGAGUACGGCCGCAAGGUUAAAACUCAAAUGAAUUGACGGGGGCCCGCACAAGCGGUGGAGCAUGUGGUUUAAUUCGAUGCAACGCGAAGAACCUUACCUGGUCUUGACAUCCACAGAAGAAUCCAGAGAUGGAUUUGUGCCUUCGGGAACUGUGAGACAGGUGCUGCAUGGCUGUCGUCAGCUCGUGUUGUGAAAUGUUGGGUUAAGUCCCGCAACGAGCGCAACCCUUAUCCUUUGUUGCCAGCGGUCCGGCCGGGAACUCAAAGGAGACUGCCAGUGAUAAACUGGAGGAAGGUGGGGAUGACGUCAAGUCAUCAUGGCCCUUACGACCAGGGCUACACACGUGCUACAAUGGCGCAUACAAAGAGAAGCGACCUCGCGAGAGCAAGCGGACCUCAUAAAGUGCGUCGUAGUCCGGAUUGGAGUCUGCAACUCGACUCCAUGAAGUCGGAAUCGCUAGUAAUCGUGGAUCAGAAUGCCACGGUGAAUACGUUCCCGGGCCUUGUACACACCGCCCGUCACACCAUGGGAGUGGGUUGCAAAAGAAGUAGGUAGCUUAACCUUCGGGAGGGCGCUUACCACUUUGUGAUUCAUGACUGGGGUGAAGUCGUAACAAGGUAACCGUAGGGGAACCUGC
rnacentral:rRNA from 2 species